CAGUAGCCGCGGGAAUACUGAGGGAGCUAGCGUUGUUCGGAAUUACUGGGCGUAAAGCGCGCGUAGGCGGUUACUCAAGUCAGAGGUGAAAGCCCGGGGCUCAACCCCGGAACUGCCUUUGAAACUAGGUGACUAGAAUCUUGGAGAGGUCAGUGGAAUUCCGAGUGUAGAGGUGAAAUUCGUAGAUAUUCGGAAGAACACCAGUGGCGAAGGCGACUGACUGGACAAGUAUUGACGCUGAGGUGCGAAAGCGUGGGGAGCAAACAGGAUUAGAUACCCGAGUAGUCCCUGUCUCUUAUAC
rnacentral:rRNA from 1 species